rnacentral:rRNA from 1 species
UACGUAGGGGGCAAGCGUUGUCCGGAAUUAUUGGGCGUAAAGAGCGUGUAGGCGGCCCGGCAAGUCCGCCGUGAAAGUCCAGGGCUCAACCCUGGAAUGCCGGUGGAAACUGUCGGGCUUGAGUUCGGAAGAGGCGAGUGGAAUUCCUGGUGUAGCGGUGAAAUGCGCAGAUAUCGGGAGGAACACCAGUAGCGAAGGCGGCUCGCUGGGCCACACCUGACGCUGAGACGCGAAAGCUAGGGGAGCGAACAGG